AGAAGACAUUCAUUCAUCAGAAUUAACUGACAUCGACACAAACCACCAUAAUAAAUCUCUUUGGUGCCUCCAUUGAAAUUAAACAAGUUGCAAGAAUAUUCAAUCGACUUGAGAGGCCGAACGUCCAAAAAACGCAUUCUCGACAUGCAUACAAAGCUCUAAGAAAAUACACACUUCCACUGGGCCUAAUGGAUUUUCAAAGCGUGAGUCGAUUUGCCAAUUAAUAACAAGCUAAACUGACCGAUUAAAACGCUUCAAUUGGAGGCUUAAACAAAGCACUUACCGUCGUGCUGGGUGAUAAGCCAGUGUCGAUUUGGCAGGCCGUUACAAAUUCCUGUCCUUUGACCAAAUUCACAAACGAACACCUGGGGAACCAUCGGGCGUGUUCCGUCCAAGGAUCGUCAUCUGGAUCCCAAUUUCUGAGCCCACCGUCACAAUGGAAACAGCGUACUUGAUCGCCCAAACCUACAAGCCAUAUUUUCGUCCAUGCAAAAUCUAAAUAAGCCGCGAAAGCCAAAUCACUUGUGGAAGAUUCUUGGGGCUUAAUUUUUGGUUGGUAUAUUUCGACUAGUUUCUCAACUAGUUCCACUGUUGGUAUAAUUGAUAUAAAACGUACAAGUUUCCGUUAAAAAUAACAA